rnacentral:rRNA from 1 species
GAUGAACGCUGGCGGCGUGCCUAAUACAUGCAAGUCGAGCGAACAGACGAGGAGCUUGCUCCUCUGACGUUAGCGGCUGACGGGUGAGUAACACGUGGAUAACCUACCUAUAAGACUGGGAUAACUUCGGGAAACCGGAGCUACUACCGGAUAAUAUAUUGAACCGCAUGGUUCAAUAGUGAAAGACGGUUUUGCUGUCACUUAUAGCUGGAUCCGCGCCGCAUUAGCUAGUUGGUAAGGUAACGGCUUACCAAGGCAACGAUGCGUAGCCGACCUGAGAGGGUGAUCGGCCACACUGGAACUGAGACACGGUCCAGACUCCUACGGGAGGCAGCAGUAGGGAAUCUUCCGCAAUGGGCGAAAGCCUGACGGAGCAACGCCGCGUGAGUGAUGAAGGUCUUCGGAUCGUAAAACUCUGUUAUUAGGGAAGAACAAAUGUGUAAGUAACUAUGCACGUCUUGACGGUACCUAAUCAGAAAGCCACGGCUAACUACGUG